rnacentral:rRNA from 1 species
CCUACGGGCGGCUGCAGUGGGGAAUAUUGGACAAUGGGGGCAACCCUGAUCCAGCCAUGCCGCGUGUGUGAAGAAGGCCCUCGGGGUGUAAAGCACUUUCAGUGAGGAAGAACGCCUGGUGGUUAAUACCCAUCAGGAAAGACAUCACUCACAGAAGAAGCACCGGCUAACUCCGUGCCAGCAGCCGCGGUAAUACGGAGGGUGCGAGCGUUAAUCGGAAUUACUGGGCGUAAAGCGCGCGUAGGUGGCUUGAUAAGCCGGUUGUGAAAGCCCCGGGCUCAACCUGGGAACGGCAUCCGGAACUGUCAAGCUAGAGUGCAGGAGAGGAAGGUAGAAUUCCCGGUGUAGCGGUGAAAUGCGUAGAGAUCGGGAGGAAUACCAGUGGCGAAGGCGGCCUUCUGGACUGACACUGACACUGAGGUGCGAAAGCGUGGGUAGCAAACAGGAUUAGAUACCCCGGUAGUC